GAUGAACGCUAGCGGCAGGCUUAACACAUGCAAGUCGAGGGGCAGCACGGGUAGCAAUACCUGGUGGCGACCGGCGCAAGGGUGCGUAACGCGUGAGCAACAUGCCCUAUACAGGGGGAUAAUCCAGGGAAACUUGGUCUAAUAUCCCAUAGUAUUUAGAGGAGGCAUCUUCUAUAAAUUAAAGCUUCGGUGGUAUAGGAUUGGCUCGCGUGACAUUAGCUAGAUGGUGAGGUAACGGCUCACCAUGGCAAUGAUGUCUAGGGGUUCUGAGAGGAAGGCCCCCCAACUGGGACUGAGACACGGACCAGACUCUACGGGAGCAGCAGUGAGGAAUAUUGGUCAAUGGGCGGAAGCCUGAACCAGCCAUGCCGCGUGCAGGAUGACGGCCCUACGGGUUGUAAACUGCUUUUCCCCGGGGCGAAUAACCCCUGCGAGGGGGAUGGCCGGUACGGGGAAUAAGGAUCGGCUAACGUCCGUGCCAGCAGCCGCGGUAUC
rnacentral:rRNA from 1 species